UGCCAGCAGCCGCGGUAACACGGGGGGCGCAAGCGUUAUUCGGAAUUAUUGGGCGUAAGGCGCGCGUAGGUGGAUUGGUCAGUCAGAUGUGAAAGCCCCGGGCUCAACCUGGGAACUGCACCUGAUACUGCCAGUCUUGAGUACAGUAGAGGGCAGUGGAAUUUCCUGUGUAGCGGUGAAAUGCGUAGAUAUAGGAAGGAACACCAGUGGCGAAGGCGACUGCCUGGACUGAUAUUGACGCUGAGGUGCGAAAGCGUGGGGAGCAAACAGGAUUAGAUA
rnacentral:rRNA from 1 species